GACAGGCGGCAGGCAAAUCUAGAGGCAAGUACAACAGCCUGCCACCUCCGGGGGGGUACCCAGGGCCGCGGCACCCUCCAGGGGCAGGUCAGAAUGGGCUCACGGUGCCAAGCUGUGUAUGCACCCACGUGCACGUCUCAAGAGGUGGCAGCGGCUGUAAACAUCGCGACAAAUCCCUGAAGGUCCAGACUGGUGACAAGGGUUGAGAGAAACUGGGGCCUAUUUAAAUGCUAAAGAAAAGGCUUACCCGAGAGAGCUGACGAUUCAGAAGAGGAAAUGGGAGGCAAUCUAGGACUGGGAUGGUGACUCACCAUCCCCUCCUACCAACACAGCUCCACGCGGCCCAAGGUGACCUCUCGAGCUCCCGCCAUUUUGUCUGACUUCAGCCAGCAGAGACUUCCAGAAGUUCCACAUGAUGCUUCUUACAUCUCAUGGGCUAUAACCUAGCCCCAUGGCCACACCCAGCUGAAAGAGACGUGAGAAAUGCAGGCUUUGGACUGAGCUAUGGUGUGCCCAACCACAGCUCCUGUUACUAAACAUGUCAGACAUGGAUACCAGGAUGCUACAAAUAGUCUGUACCGUAAAGGGAAGUGGGAGGGGCCUGGUGGUUUGUUGAGGAAGAGUCUGGAAAGAUUCAGCAGUUGAAGCCCAACCCACUUCAUUCUAAUCCCUACCCAUCUCCUGUCACCUGUGUGACCUUGAACAAGCCCACGUGAGCCUUUACGGUAUCCUCUGUAAAAUGGGAGUGAGAGUCUACCUGGCCGAAUGGCGGCAGGGAUUAGAUGUGAAGCCAUGGAAAGACCUGAGCUGUGGCGGGAUCUGAUGUUUGUUACAUUUAAAUUACAAUCUCUUUGUGUGUGUGUGUGUGUGUGUGUGUGUGUGUGUGUGUGUGUAUUUUAAGAUGACAAACACACCCUGAGUACCUACUGUGUGCUACAUACUUGCCAGAUGCCUUUACAUCAUAUUCCUUUCUCAUUCCAACCAGCUAUUACAAUCAUCCUUGUAAUGCCCAGUUCGCAGUAUUCCCCAAUGACCAGAGACCACCGGGGAGACCGAGUCACGCAUGCAAAGACAAAGGGUUUUAUUAUGGGUUCGAACUCGGACUCACAGACUUUUCCAGCGCCAUGGAUCCGUGUUGUGAGCCCCGAACAAGGGCUGAGCAGGGUUUUUAUGGGG